AGAGAACCAGACUCAUCACGAGUGAAAAUAACGAUUUGGGACCCAGAAAGGAGACUACGCUGAGGUCUGGACAGAGUGGACCAUUUCGACAACUUCUCCUUUGACAAGGAUCAAGAGGCCAAGGAUCAGGUGGUGAGGGCAGAACCAACAGAGCAGACAGCUCUCCCACAGCCAGCCUCUGAACCUGCUCUACAGUCUGAAUAGCCCGGGUGAAGUUAAACUCUCCUUUGCUGGUGCACCAGAUGGCUGAGAACAGGAUAGGCUGAUGCCCUGGAAGCUAAGAGUGAGGCGGCAAAGGAGUUUGCAGGUGAGACUGCUGAUUGCAGAGGAGCUGAAACCCACAGAGGACAUGGGUCUCAAUGAACACAAGGACAAGGCCUGGUGAGAGCCACUACAGAGGAUCAUAGCCAUCGUUGGAAUUCUGGAAGGACGUGGGUGAAUAUCAAUCUGCCAAAUGAACUUUUUUAGCAUGCAUAUUCACAUCUGUAUAUUAAUUCUGAUAUGAUACUAUAUAUGACCUUGUUUGUUUGUUACUGGAAAGAAAUUAGCUUCUAUUGUUUUUGACUUUGAAGGACUUGACUGUGGUUUAAGCCUAUGUGCAUUUUCUAGAUGUUGAGCAUGAACAGAACUUUAAACAAUGAUUUACUGGGUGACUUUUAUGGCGUUUUUCCAUCACCAGUAUGAACUCAACUCGGUUCAUCCGUGCUCCGUUUUUCAUUGCAGAUAGUACCCAGAAAUUUACCCCUCAAUGUAGCUGGUCGUCAUAGCAACGCGACACACAGCUGCCGCGACAUAAUGUUCAAUGCGACACACAAACCAGCGACCCACAAACAGUCUCUUUUUUUAAGUUAAAACGUUUCAACAUUGCUCAGAAUGUAAAGACAGAUAAGCGGUAUGAAAACCUUCCAGCUGUGUUUUCCUCUGCCGUUGUUGCUGCAGCGGUCUGUGUGA